rnacentral:piRNA from 1 species
UCCAUUUCUGAAAUCCUCUGGGAUCUAUGU